rnacentral:tRNA from 1 species
AAGGAUUUAAGUUAAACAAACUAUUAACCUUCAAAGUUAAAAAUAUUUAUAUAAAAUUUAAACCUUA